UGGCUCAGGACGAACGCUGGCGGCGUGCCUAACACAUGCAAGUCGAACGAGAAUCAGUGGAACGGAGAUUCGUCGAAGGGAAGCUGAGGACAGUGGCGGACGGGUGAGUAACGCGUGAGCAACCUGCCCUUCAGAGGGGGACAACAGUUGGAAACGACUGCUAAUACCGCAUGACAUAUACUUAAGGCAUCUUUAGUAUAUCAAAGAUUUAUCGCUGAAGGAUGGGCUCGCGUCUGAUUAGCUGGUUGGUGGGGUAACGGCCUACCAAGGCGACGAUCAGUAGCCGGACUGAGAGGUUGAACGGCCACAUUGGGACUGAGAUACGGCCCAGACUCCUACGGGAGGCAGCAGUGGGGAAUAUUGGGGCCAAUGGGGGCAACCCUGACCCAGCAACGCCGCGUGAAGGAAGAAGGCUUUCGGGUUGUAAACUUCUUUGACGAGGGACGAAAAAUGACGGUACCUCGAAAACAAGCCACGGCUAACUACGUGCCAGCCGCGGC
rnacentral:rRNA from 1 species